CAGAGCAGCAGCAGCCGACACAGGCUGGGCUUGAGUAAAACAAAAGAGUUUCCCGCACGCUGGUUCGGUCCAAGCUGUGGGCGUGGCUUGGGGGCCGGGGCUGUGUCUGGGGAUCGCGUUCCUCGGGCCUAUGGAGGGCGUGGCCAGGCAGGAGGGGGCGGAGCCCAGACUCCCCAUUCCCCCGUCUCUGUGUGUGUCUCUCUCCUGUGCUGGUGAGUGUGUUUCCCCUUCUUUGUUCCCCAGUCUUUGUUAUUAGCCAUGCCGAGCCUGCUGCUCUCAGGGAUGAUGGAGAGGAAUGGGACGGUGCAGCUGAUGGCAGAUCUGGCCGGGAAGGAGCGGGUGGUGCUGGAGGAUGAGCGGGCUCUGCAGAUCGCGCUGGACCAACUGUGUCUGCUGGGACUGGGGGAGACCGAGGAGGAGAACAAUAACAACAGUAACAGUAACAGCAGCAACACCGGCAGCAGCACCGGCAGCAACGGCUCCGGACACCCCCACAAGGGCGAGACCAAGUUGUGUUCCCUGUACAAAGAGGCAGAGCUCCGGCUCAAGACUUGUAACACUACCGAGUGUGUCCCGGUGCCCAGCUCCGAGCACGUGGCCGAGAUUGUGGGGAGACAAGGUUGCAAGAUCAAAGCACUACGAGCCAAAACUAACACCUACAUCAAGACGCCGGUACGAGGUGAAGAACCAGUGUUCAUGGUGACGGGUCGCAGAGAGGACGUGGCCAUGGCUCGGCGUGAGAUUAUCUCCGCCGCUGAGCACUUCUCUAUGAUCCGAGCAUCUCGUAACAAGGCCGGCACAGCAUUCGGCAGUGCCCCGGCCCUUCCCGGGCAAGUCACCAUCCGCGUGCGAGUCCCUUACAGGGUGGUUGGCUUAGUUGUAGGACCCAAAGGAGCCACCAUCAAAAGGAUUCAGCAGCAGACAAAUACUUAUAUAAUCACCCCAAGUCGGGACAGGGACCCCGUGUUUGAGAUCACUGGGGCACCCGGGAAUGUGGAGAGGGCAAGGGAGGAGAUAGAGACCCACAUCGCAGUGCGCACUGGUAAAAUUCUAGAAUACAACAAUGAGAAUGACUUCUUGUCUAGCAGCCCAGACUCUGGGAUGGAAAGUCGGUACCCGGAGAACUGGAGGGUGCACGGAACUGCAACUGGGUGCAAGCCCCUGUCCACCUUUCGCCAAAACAGCCUGGGCUGCAUCGGAGAUUGCCCAACAGAGCCCGUGUACGAGACCCCGAGGCUAAAUGAUCAAAAUGAUUUCAACUACGGCUAUUUGUUCCCCAACUACAAGCAAGAGGUAUACUACGGUGUGACCGAGUCUGGGGGGCCGAUGUGGGGGGGACAAGAGAACACCAACCCGGCCCCUGGUAUCUUUACAAAGCAACAACGUUCUGGGAGCACCGGCAGUGUACAGACCACCACCACCCAGCGUUCACCAGAAAACAGCCUUAGCACCCUGCAAAGGAGAAGCCAAGGGGAAGCUCUGCCCGGCUUCACCAAGCUCACCGCCACCCGGACCUCUGUCUCCGAAAGCCGGGAGUGCAUGGUGUGUUUUGAGAGUGAGGUCACGGCUGCACUGGUGCCCUGUGGGCACAACCUUUUCUGCAUGGAAUGUGCCGUGCGCAUCUGUGAAAGGAACGAGCCUGAAUGUCCAGUUUGCCACUUGUCGGCAACUCAGGCCAUCCGAAUAUUUUCUUAAAGAGAGACACAGUGGGUGAGGGGGUGGGAAAAUGUGGACUCUUGGUGCAUAGAGGUCAAAAGACAAUAUCUCAAAAUUCCUCAAAAAAACAAGGAAGGAUUGUCCCCUUCCGAUGGGAAAGUCUUGCAGACAGAACCUUUACUUUGGCAAGGCCAUUGGGGGGUCCUAGACUAGAACACACAGCUGUUUACUGGACAUUUAGAGGACUCCACUUUACCCGCUCUCAUUUUGCGGUCUUGCCGCCCGUUGAUCUGGAUAUCGAAGUCGCUGAUCAAAAACAAAAAGUGCUUUUCAAGAAUAUGUUUUUGGCAAGUUUAUCGAAGCCUGGGAAGAAUCAACUUCAGGGAAGAACCAAGGAGGAUGGGUUUGCUCUUCAGAUUUGGGAAAGAGUCGAGUCGCUCCAGUCGCCAACGUUUUAGUAGCUGCCGUCUCCCAAACAGCCCUCUGUGUUUUUGUAUGUUUUUGUGUUACGGUUGUUGGUUUCAUGGACAUCGACAACGUUUUACAAGGGAAGGAGAGAAUAAAAAUAAAAAAAGUUCAGAAUUGGUUGCAGUUUCAACUCAACAAAUUUAAGAGGUUCCUGUAGACAAAUGCUUAAAGUGAGGCCAACUUUGGCCUUGUUCCGGUCACAUUUCUUGGUGCACAGUUGGAGAUAAGCCUCUCUGAAAGACGAGAGGGUAAGAAGGCAGAAGGGCUAUAUCAAAGGAUAUUAUCUGCCUCUCCUGAUGGCAACAUGGUGGGCACUCAGGGUUCAAUUCAGGUCUCUCAACGCUGGCAUCAGCCGGCCUCCUCUUCCUACAUUCAUCACUACCUGGCUAAUGAAUAAUAGGAAUCUGUCUUUCAUCAAUAAUUGCAAAAAAAUAAUAAUAAUAAAACACAAACUGUUUAUCAAUCUCUGGGAACCUUCAACAUGAGGACACAACGAUUACCUCAAACUCAACUUAAAAAGCAGCUAAAUCAACUGUGUGCAGUUACCAUGUCACGUGCUGUAAUGUUUCAUAUUCAAAAACAAUCCUGAUGGGUUUUAGGACCACAAUGAAAAAAAAAAAAAUACAAUAAUCAGGACUAUGUGCAUGUAGGACAUUUUUGGUUAUUUUUGUUAUUUUUUUUUAUGUGGCUCUGACUUUUAAUUUUACUCUGCACUGCAGUGGGGGGCGCCCUUGCUUGACUUCCUCCACAACGAACACGCUUCCCUCCAGAACCAACCGAUUGCAUAUUUUUUGGUGGGAGGGGAUGCUGACCGUCAACGUUCCACUUGUGACUUGAGAACUCUUCCUCAAAAUGCAGAAUAUUAAAAGAAAAACUACAAAUAUGAAUAAAAUACGAAAGUUAUUUUGCUUCCUGCUAAGCUGGACCAGAACAUUUUUACUAGAAAAAAAAUAAAAAAAACAAAAAUGUUGAGAAAUGCAGAUGUGCUGGACCAAAGUUACACUCUCUAGGGAAUGUCUAGUGGGCAUCAGGUUCACUAAAUCUGCCCUUGUGAAGAUAUUUCAGAACAUUGUGUUGGAGUUGGGACUGUGGGGUUGUCCUAUUCCCCAUGCACAACGGAUGUCAUCCAAUACUCUGAUAACAUUGGUGAGAAUUUGGGAUAUUUAAGGACUGCUCCAUGUACACAAUUAACACUCAGAUUUUCCCCCUUUACUCCAAUUGGGAAAAAGAAGUUUUUAACUUUUUAUUUUUUUUAAUUUAUUUCAAUAUUUUGGUGCUUCCUGGAUAUAUAAAUUUCCCUCUCUGCCCGAAUUAUUUUGAAAUCCCCAUGUCCAUGAAAUAAUAUUUCUUUUUCGGGGGGCUGUUGGGAUGGGUGGGAGGGUUUUAUCAAAUAUCCAGUUUCCUGGUUCAAUAUCGAGACUAUUGUCCAUUUGCUGAAUUGAGAGACAUGUUAAUCGCUUUCCAAUGAAGAUGGGCUCAAGUGAUCCCAUUCCUAGCAGAAGGCCUUUUUCCCCUCAGAAGGCCUCGUUCUCCUGAUUUUCUGGGAGGAAGGAGCCCAUCUUGAAUGCACCUUGCCCAGAGUGAAUCCUGCUUCCCUAGCCAGUGAAAAGUGGGUGCCCAACUGUGAUUCCCACCAUUCUUCAAAAGCUCUCCUUAACUGUGAGGUUUCAGUCUUGCUUUUAGAGGAGACAUAUUGAAAUAUUUUUGAAGGGUGGUGGGAGGAAGAGUUUGCCCAGAAUGCCUUUAUUUUAUUGUCAUGGCUUCAAACGAUGUAGCAUCCUUGUUACAGUUUAGCAGUAUUUGAAGUUUCUUUUUAUUUUAGUUUUUAUUUAAAAUUUUAUUAUGCUAAAAUGUAGCGAUUAACUUGAGAAGAAGGGACCUUAAGUAAAAAAAAAGAAAAAAAUCAGGUCAGAUUUUUUUUGGGGGGGGGGGGCUGCUUAGACUGUGGCUGAAAGUCUUUGGUGGGAAUGUAACCCUUGCACUGAAGCAUUCAUCUCAGCAGUGAAGUCCUCAGACGCAGCAGCCCUCUCCAAUGGAAGCAUUGCUUUGGGUUGAUGGCCUGGGUAGUUAUCUCAGCACCCUUUUUUUUAUCAAAGAGAUCUUUCCAUUGGGUUGAUGGUCUGAGUAGUUCUCAACACCCUUUUUUCUCCAAGAGAUCUUUCCAUUGGGUUAAUGUCUCAGCACCCUUUUUUAAUCAAAUAGAUCUUUCCAUUGUGUUCAUGGCCUGGGUAGUCAUGUCAGCACCCUUUCUUCUCAAAGAGAUCUUUCCAUUGGGUUGAUGGCCUGGGUAGUUAUCUCAGUAUCCUUUUUUCUCAAAGAGAUCUUUCCAUUGGGUUCAUGGUCUGGGUAGUUCUCAGCACCCUUUUUUCUCCAAGAGAUCUUUCCAUUGGGUUAAUGUCUCAGCACCCUUUUUUAAACAAAUAGAUCUUUCCAUUGGGUUCAUGGCCUGGGUAGUUAUCUCAGCACCCUUUCUUCUCAAACAGAUCUUUCCAUUGGGUUGAUGGCCUGGAUAGUUAUCUCGGUAUCUUUUUUCUCAAAGAGAUUUUCCAUUGGGUCGAUGUCUCAGCACCCUUCUUUUUUUUAUCAAAGAGAUCUUUCCAUUGGGUUGAUGGCUUGGGUAGUCAUCUCAGCACCCUUUUUUCUUAUCUAACAAAGGCAACAAAUUUAGCCAGCAAUGUGGCUCCAAGCCAAGCUCUAAUUUUUUUCAAUGGGAAUUACAUUUUCUCAAUGUGAACUACCCUAUAUUUUAGCCCCUCUAGCGGCUGUAGGGCACGGCAACAUAUUGCUGGUUUCAGUUGGCAUGAGGAGGACUGGCAUUAUAAAUCAACCAGAUAUUAUUGCAUUGUGUUCUAACUUGUUCACUGGCAGAGCUGUCUUUAGAGGGUCCAAAUAGUAUUCUUAGGACCCCCACACUGGUGACUAAUGGCAAUGUAAGAUGCUAAGAGUAGAGCAAAACAAUGUAUCCGUGUUGCCCAACCUCAGUUCCUUGUUUAUUGUUGAAGUGCAAUUUCUGCCACUCGCUCAUGAUCAAAUGUGUUGGUAGUUGAACCUCAGUAACAGCUAAAGGGCCAUAAAUCAAUGUAGUCAUCUUUUAUAUAAGGGACUUGAGCCCUGCUAAAGACAGCUCUGUAUGUUGGUUCCUCUUCAGCCAAGAAAGCUAUGUUUGCCGAUGAGGAAACUUUAGAGUGGAGGUAUCAACUUAAUCAGCAUUGCAAUGGAAAGAUGGCAGGCUAAAAAUGUUGCCUCUCUUUGAUCAAUUUGAUCUUUGCAUUAUUCAUUGACCUACUGUAAACUGGCUCUUCUGACCCCCACCUCCCCCCAAAAAUGCAUUGUUUUGCCAUUGCAGAGGUAUCCUAAUAUAUUUAUCUAUGAGAAACCAAAAUGUUCUUAUGGUAUCAUCAUUAGAAGCAACCUACGCUGAGCCAGAUUACUUGCAUGGUAUUUGUUGGGGGUGGUGGGAACUAAUUUAUUUUAAAGUUGCCUGACAUGUAAGGAACUUUGCCGCCCAUGAACCAAAAUGGGGUUGUGAAGAAGCAGCAUGUUAAGGGGAAAAGUAAGCCAAUGGAUAUUAAGCUCUGUUGGCCACGCUGAGCUCAUAUAUAUAAAUAUAUAUAAGGCACCUUUUAUGGGGUCUCUCAUGACCCAUUGCUGAUCACCACUUAAUCUCUAUAACGCUUCGCCUGGGAAACACAAUAUACUAUGUCAAUACAUUUCAGAAUUAUAUGUGAAUCUAGUAGGGGACGUGGCAUUUUGGAGUGUCUGUUACUGUUCAUCCCAGUCUUGGGAGGGGGGGGGCUCAUUCAUUAACCCGAAAAAUAGGGGGAUGUCAAUACUAUGUCCCAACACCACAAUGGAAUAUAGGCGUGGAGGUGAGAGCUGUCCACUCAGAAAACGGAUGGCUAGUUCUAGUACGAAAUACUUUGUUGACUCUAUGAAGAUGAAUGUAGAUAGAAGGGUAGACAACCGACAUAUUGGGGUGUCUGAUUGGUCCAUGUGUCCGUGCUAGUCCUCAUGGAUUGAGGUUAUCUGCAAAUCUAUGGGAAGGUUGGGGUACAGCGGUAAGAAUAUGUGUCGGGCACCCCAAUCAUGGGAUGGUUUCCAAUGAUGGGAUCCUUAAUCCAAGUUCAUUGAAGGCAUUGCUUGAUGCUGGCAGUACCAAUGGGAGGAAUUAUUUUCAAUAUAAAGUGUGAUUCUGUGCAACACAUCAUGUCUGACUCAGUGACGUUGAUCCUACACCAGGAAUGUCCAAACCGUGCCCCCGAAACUGUUACUGCACUCAAACACCCAUCCAAUAUGGUGGUUGGAACUCAACGAUGACAAGACGUUGACGGUUUGGCCACCCCUGGUGUAAAAUCCCUAUUCAGAUGGGAGAGCUCAGUUGAAUUCAUUAUUUGCCACUAAAGGAUGACAUUGGGCAAUAAGUGUGACGUUGCCCAGUCUCCCGUCUUCGAUGCCUUUAACCAUUUGAUUGCUGGUGAGGACUGAGAUGGAUUGCCAAGCAAUAGUCUCCAAAGUCCUUCUUAACCUAAACUGCACCUAUUCUUCCAAAAGCUUUUUUUUUUGCCAUUUCCAUUUCAGAUUUAAAUAUCUUAAUAUGUUAACCCCCAGCCAGGGCUACAAAAAUAGGCACUAAAAAAAAAAACUUAUAGAACAAAAUAAAAUAUACUGUGAUAUGAUCAUCAGAAAUUAUAUAGAGAAUAGUUUGUAUUGUUCUACACAAAAACCAAAUUUGUUUUAUAUUUGAGGAGCAGAAUAAAAAAAAAAAUUGUUCCCUUUGCCCCACUACGGAAAGGUAUUUUAAAGAAAAAAUUUAAGAGGAAAAAGUUGUUUUUUUUUUAAAUUUCAAAUUCUAUUACUGACCCGUGAGGAGGCCAAGACUGUUAAAAAAGAAACGAAAAACUGUAUUUCAUUUGCGAGUUUUUAAAUUCAAUUUUAAAAAAUGUUGAAAACUGUAAAAAAAAAAAAAAAAAAAGACACUGCUUAAAAAAAAUGAGAUCUUUUCUUUAUAAUUUAAUAUUCUAUUUUAAUAAAAUGCAUUUAUUACGUGUAACUGUUACCAGGACGGAACGAAAAAGAAAAAAUACUUUUUAUUGGGUAAUUUAUUAAAAAGAAAGGAUUUUAUUUUAUGAUAAAGUAAUCCUUGAGAUUUCGAAAGCAUUAUAGUUAUGUAGACAGGAGAAAAUAAAAAUAAAAGUUUUUGUAGCCAGAAUUAAACUUAAAGUAUUUCUUUUUACAUAACAAAAUUUGAAUUUUGUUUUAGUUGAAAUCUCAUUUUUGUUGUGUUAGUGCGGGGAAUAUCUCUGAUGACUUAGCUAUCGGUUUCUUGUCUAGUGAUCACUUCAUUGUUGGGUAGAGUACUGAGCAAAUUAACUCCUUCAUGCCUACAUGAAACUUCAUUUGAUGCCUUGGUGUGAGUGUGCGCUCACACUCGAGGAAAUGAUUUGACCCACCAGCGAUGAAGGGGCUUUAUUGCGCGUGUUGUUUUAGUGAUGUAAAUGCAAUAUUUUGUAGCUGGGGGAGGGGGCGGGGUUAGGGUCUACUAGGCGCUUCUACGGUGAGAUAGAUAGUUCAAUGUCCGCUUUCAUUUCAACAUUUUUCUUGGGUGGGUGGGGAAAGGGGUGGAGUUGGGAGAGACAGAAAAAUUAAAUUUUUUUGUUGCUUUAACAGUUCUGAAUUGCCAUAUAUUUUUAUUAACCUAAAUUUUUUAAAAAUAUUUUUUUGCGAGCGGGUAGGGUGGGAAGGGUGCAGUUCACGUUCAGGAAAAGCAUUUGUUUCGUUCUCGUCUCCCAUCUCCAGGCGUCAGUAAGGGGGAACAUUCAUCCAGAACAUAACAUUCCGCAUGCUAUAGACCGUAGUGGUAGAAGUAUCUUUGCAACUGGUAUUAUUUCUUUUUAUCUAAUUCAACCUACAAUUCCAGCUAUUUCAGUGGCUUGUAUCUACUGAUGGGGCUCAUUUUGGUCAUAAUGAGAGUUGCGGUUUAUUUUCUAUUUGCAUUGGGGCGCCACCUCCCAUUGGUCGGUGCAUACCAGCUGAGAACAGUCAUGCAGUGACAUUUUUGGCCUGCAGAGGGUGCUAUAAUUGGAGCAGAAACUUUUUUUUUUUUUUUUUGCCAGUAUUAAUUUAGUCCAGUUCAAAAAGACACGGGAGAUAUCACAUUUUAAUUUAGAAGAUAGCGUAUUGCACACGUAUAAGUGCUGGGCAAACUUUGCUUUUUGUUAAUGUUGCUUUAUUGGGUGAUUAAUAACGUCAUGCUUCCAGGGGCUCUUUUUGCAAGAGUACAAAAAAGCCAAGACUGUUAAACUUGAGUUCCAUCUGAUUUUUAUCACCCCAGCGUUGGCCCGGAGGCCCACAGAGGCUUCCACCACAGGGCCCCCCACCGAACCCCUUACCUCUGCUGUCCACCCCCUAGAGGCCACCACCCCUCUCUAUACCUAUGCUGUAGUUGCCAUCGGGAAGCGAUCUUGGGGCAGCGUGAGCCACCAUUUUUUUUACCCGGUGUCCAGCUGGCCCAGUCCGACCCUGUGUCACCCUAACUUGCAGUGUAUGUAUUAUAAGGCAAUAUCGGGGGACACUUUUUAAAGAUUAAUGGUACCCAACAUUUGGACCCCUUCGGUUGUUGUUGUUGAACAACUUAAAUCCCCAACUGACAAAGACUUCAAAGGAGCGCAGGUUGUUGUUAGCUGAAGCUAAAGGGCAAUAGGCUAGCAUUUCUAAAUUUUAUAUAAACCUUGGGCCCCAAUAAUGUUAGGGUUGUAAGACUAAAGAUAAACGUGACAUUAAAGCAUUCCAGGGAAAGGAUUAAAUCCCAAUCUUAAUGGGUUACUUGUCUGAUUUUCACCUCUUCCGCUCCUGGGGAUGGUGGGAGCCGUAUGUCCAACUCAAGGAUAAUGAAGGACAUGCUUGUGUCGAUGCGCAUUGAUCGGACGUCUAGACAUGGUUUAGAUAUUGUAUGUGUGCAAGCAGAAUACACUCUUUAAUAUAUUCUACAAUUUAAAGCUUUCACGUAGCACCAAAACAUUUAAAACAAAAACAUUUUUUAAGCUGUUGUGUCCUACAAACAAUUCCAGUCCACCUUUCACUAGAACGGGAGCAGUAGCCUUGUGUGAUGGGAGAAAAAGAACAAACAUCUCAAAAGCCAUCCUUGAAGUAUUUUUUUAAUAUAUUCCCUUACCCCAAGCCCUAUGACUUUAGAAAACCACUUUUAGUGCCCCAAUUAUAUUUCUAUAAAGUAAAGCUGAUCUAAUUUUUUUUCCCGCAUAGCCUCUUUACAAUUGGAUAGCACUUUCAGCGAUACGUCGACGACCUUUUUUUGUUUUUUUGGCUUUUAGAUGCAUCUUUGUGUGGAUGGCAGAUUUUUUUUGUCUUCUGCCGCUUGCAUGGCUUUUUCAAGUCCUGGCACUUUUGUAUCAAAAUGUUUAUUUUUAAUCCAAAAAAAAAUACAUUUUUUACAUUUUCAGGUGACAUUAUUCUACAUUAGGUAAAAAUGUGGGGAAAGACAUAUUAGAGCAGAUAUGCAUUCACCUGCAUUUAUUAGGGGUUAGUAGUUGGGGGGGUAUGUUAAGUCUAAAAGCGAUUUGAAGACCCUUCUUCAAAACAAAAAUUCCAUUAAUUUCCCCCAUUUUUUUUCCUCCAGUGCAUGAUGAUAAUCCAAUUAAAUAUCUUACCCCAUUUCACCAUGUCUUUUGUAUGCUAGAGUGAGAAAAAGGAGUGGCCAUUGACCAUUAAAGUAACAGCCAUGCCCCUCCCCUUUGUAAAACUAUAGCAUUGUAGUGAUGAUGUCAUAAUCAUGUAGUGAUGUCUAUCUGCACUAAAGCUCUUGCCAGACUGGAAAGCUUCAUUCUAUAUCUUACUACCAUGAAAAUGUUACAACCCAAAGCGUUGCAUGCCUUUGAAAGUAAAAGGGUUUUUUAAAAACCUUCCUUUUUUUUUUUUUUUAAUGAUUGCAGGGUGAGAGGGUCAUUGUUUGUGUGUUGCUGUGUUUUUUUUUUUUUUGUUUCAACUAUGUUACCAAAAGAUUAAAUAGAAGGAUUUAAUUAACAAAAUGUAUAUACAUUUUUGGAGGAUUUUUUUAUGUUAAAUCAGCAAAGCUGUUAGUAACUUAAAAGAGAUGCAGCAGCCCAGCAAUAAACCAUGUGCACUAAAGUAAACAGAAAAAAAUUUGCAAAAAAGAGAAAAUAUUACCCACAGCCAAAUGUAUAAAGGUGGGGAGAAUGUCUGUAACUCCUUGCAUUAUAAAGGGUUAAAUACCCCUAUAAAUUGUUUUUUUACUUCUUUUAAAGUGUCUGGGUUUGGAAAGGUUAUCUUAAAGGGAAAAUAUGCCUUUUUCAGGCCUUUCUCACCCUAAACAAUGAUAUUUUCUGACAAAUCUUAAGUUAUUUUUGUUUUCCUGUAGGAAUUUUAAACCAAAAAAAAGUUGUAUGUUUUGUUUUGAUAGAAUUUUAUCGACUGUAUUCCCGCCGGACAGGUGCGCUUUUGUUUAAUUUUUUUUUUUAAUAUAUUAUUAUAGUUUUUUAUCAUAAAAAAAGUUCCUAAUAUAGCACUUAAUAUAUUGGAAGGAAAAAAAUUAUCUGAGCUGGGUGGCAAAUUGUUUUUUUUUUUUUUUUGCCCAGACUUUGUCUAGCAUAGCUUUAACAUUUAGGGCCCGGAAAAUAUUAAAUUCUGAGCCAAAAAAGAAAAAAAAUACUUAGGAGGAAACCUAAACUGUAGAGUAAGCUUUUUUUUUUUUUUUUUUAAAUAAAAACAAAACAUGAAAAAAAGUUUAUAUAGAGGAUUAAAUACGACCUGAAUGGCUAUGUAAUACUUGUAUGAAAUGGGGGAUUUAUGACAUAUAUAGCUCUUGGUGUCUAUAAGAUGAUCACAGUAUGACGGUAAUGUUACAGCUUUUCAUUUUUAAAAACAUUUUUUUUACCUCAUAAUAAAAAUCCUUUUUAUGUUCAAAUGAUUAAAAUUGACAGUGGAGGGAUUUUUAAUUUUUUUUUUUUUUUUUUUUUUUACUUUAACAACUUGAACAAAAGCUCUGAAUUAAAUUUUUGUUGAUAUAAUCAUACUCCAUGCACUUUAUAUUCUGUUUUAAAUUUUUUUUUUUUUAAAUACAUUUCAUUAAAAAAAUAUAAGAUUUGGGGAGAGAAAAGCAUAUAUGCAUAAUGAUAAAAAUAUAUAUAUAUAUAUAUAUAUAUACCAUGGAUUUAUUGCUUGUUCAGGAAAAACAAAUGAGAUAUUUAAUGGGUAGUGUUCUUCCGCCUAUUUCAUAUUCUUUGCUCAGAAAAAAAAAGGCACCUGACUUGUAUGCCCCCCGUGUCAUAACUAUUUCCCCUUUCAUUUUUUAUUGUGUCUAUCAGUUCCCCCAAAUAAUUUUUUUUGUAAGUGACUGCUUUGUAUAAGAUCAAAAAAUAGCAAUGCCUAGUGUUUUUAUUUCAAGUCUUACCAAUAACGGCCCUUGACAUCUGGAGAGAGAAGAAGCUGCCAUACGUGUUUCUCCAGAUAAGGCUAACAUUGCUGCACUGAUAGCAAGUUUCCUCCAGGUGUCACCAGCGAAUCAGUGGGCAUCUCAUUCCAUUUGGGAACUUCACGCCUCCCCACCUUGAUUCCUGCACUGAAGGAGACUAAGCCCUUCUAAAUGAUAUCGUAUCCUUGAAAAUGCAUCUCACAUGACCCAUGAGCUCUUUGCAGAAAGUAGGUUUUUUUAGCCCUGUUUUUAUGGAUUUUUGUUUUUUUAUUAUGCAGAUAGUUAAAGCAUACAUGAUGUUGCACAAAUUGUAGAAAACAAAGAAGGGAAGGGUUAAUGUAUUAAAUGUGCUGAAUUGACAUUAAGAACUUAAUUUUAUUAAAGUAUUAUUACUUAAAAAA